rnacentral:rRNA from 2 species
UACGGAGGGUGCGAGCGUUAAUCGGAAUUACUGGGCGUAAAGGGCGCGUAGGCGGCUGAUCAAGUCAGGUGUGAAAGCCCACGGCUUAACCGUGUGAAGUGCAUCUGAAACUGGUCGGCUUGAGUAUCGGAGAGGAAAGUGGAAUUCCCGGUGUAGAGGUGAAAUUCGUAGAUAUCGGGAGGAAUACCGGUGGCGAAGGCGACUUUCUGGACGAAUACUGACGCUGAGGCGCGAAAGCGUGGGGAGCAAACAGG